GAUGAACGCUGGCGGCGUGCUUAACACAUGCAAGUCGAGCGAAGCACUUUAUUACGAUUUCUUCGGAAUGACGAUUUGGUGACUGAGUGGCGGACGGGUGAGUAACGCGUGGGUAACCUGCCUUAUACAGGGGGAUAACAGUUGGAAACGGCUGCUAAUACCGCAUAAGCGCACAGGGUCGCAUGACCUGGUGUGAAAAAACUCCGGUGGUAUGAGAUGGACCCGCGUUGGAUUAGCUGGUUGGUGAGGUAACGGCCACCAAGGCGACGAUCCAUAGCCGACCUGAGAGGGUNACCGGCCACAUUGGGACUGAGACACGGGCCCAAAACUCCUAACGGGAGGCCAAGGCAAGUUGGGGGAAAUCUUCCGCAAUGGGCGCAAGCCUGACGGAGCAACG
rnacentral:rRNA from 1 species